ACCCAUUUGGCGGAAUUUGGUAGACGCGCUAAUCUCAAAAAUUAGUUUUGUAAAUUAUUGGUUCGAGUCCAAUAAUGGGUA
rnacentral:tRNA from 1 species